CCCCAACAAUCUUGACAAACACCAAACAAACAUGUACCUCAAAAAGUAGCGCUCUGCACAAAAGUUCUAAAAGCAAAUUUUCAAUGAUGCCUGCAAAGGAGAGCCACUAAAACAACCAGCCCCAUGUACUUUCCUAUUCUUGGUUUUUUUUUUUUUUAAUGGAUCCAGAAUAGGUGCUGUAACAAUAUCAUCUGAUGGGGACGUCAUUGGAAAAACUUGGAAUAGUUGAAGCAGAAGGGUCCCUUCCAAGACGGUCAUUUAUUGUUUUUGUAAGCAAAACUCAUCUAUAGAUGGCACGUCUCCCUCUUCAUGCCUCAGAAAUUCCCCAUUCCCACUGCAGAGUCCGGUGGGUAAGGUGGGGGAUAAAGGUGCAUAGCCACCUCUAAAAGAUGAACUUCUUUCAAAUUCUCUGGUUGUUUGUAAUAGGACAGUGCCAGAAAGCACAACAACGAAGCCACAUAUUUCAGAAACAAUGCUUCCCAUGCUUUGAUCAUCCCAAUC
rnacentral:misc_RNA from 1 species